rnacentral:rRNA from 1 species
UACGAAGGGUGCAAGCGUUACUCGGAAUUACUGGGCGUAAAGCGUGCGUAGGUGGUUCGUUAAGUCUGUCGUGAAAGCCCCGGGCUCAACCUGGGAAUGGCGAUGGAUACUGGCGGGCUAGAGUGCGGUAGAGGAGAGUGGAAUUCCCGGUGUAGCAGUGAAAUGCGUAGAUAUCUGGAGGAACACCGGUGGCGAAGGCGGCAUCCUGGACCGGCAUUGACGCUGAGGCGCGAAAGCCAGGGGAGCAAACGGG